rnacentral:tRNA from 1 species
GGUUGCGUAGCUCAGUUGGUUAGAGCGCUACAUUCACAUUGUAGAUGUCACAGGUUCGAGUCCUGUCGCGACCACCA